rnacentral:rRNA from 1 species
AGCGUAAUAGCUCACUGGUCGAGUCGGCCCGCGCGGAAGAUUUAACGGGGCUUAAACUAUCCACCGAAGCUGCGGGUGUGCACUAUGUGCAUGCGGUAGCGGAGCGUUCUGUACGCUGUCGAAGGUAAACUGAGAAGUUUGCUGGAGGUAUCAGAAGUGCGAAUGCUGACAUGAGUAACGAUAAAGCGGGUGAGAUGCCCGCUCGCCAGAAGUCCAAGGUUUCCUGCUCUACGCUAAUCGGAGCAGGGUGAGUCGGCCCCUAAGGCGAGGCAGAAAUGCGUAGUCGAUGGGAAACAGGUCAAUAUUCCUGUACUCAAACUUAUUGCGAUGGGAGGACGGAGAAGGCUAGGCCAACCGGAGAUUGGUUGUUCCGGUUUAAGUGUGUAGGCUGAGUGUUUAGGAAAAUCCGGCACUUAAGGCUGAGACAUGAUGACGAGCUUCUUUAUUGAAGUGAAGUGGUUGAUGCCAUGCUUCCAGGAAAAGUCUCUAAGCUUCAGAUAAGUUUGAACCGUACUCCAAACCAACACAGGUGGACAGGUAGAGAAUACCAAGGCGCUUGAGAGAACUCGGGUGAAGGAACUAGGCAAAAUGGCACCGUAACUUCGGGAGAAGGUGCGCCGCUGAUGGUGAUGGGACUUGCUCCUUAAGCUGUCGGCGGUCGAAGAUACCAGGUGGCUGCGACUGUUUAUCAAAAACAUAGCACUCUGCAAACACGUAAGUGGAAGUAUAGGGUGUGACCCCUGCCCGGUGCCGGAAGGUUAAUUGAUGGGGUUAGUUUUCGGACGAAGCUCUUGAUCGAAGCCCCGGUGAACGGCGGCCGUAACUAUAACGGUCCUAAGGUAGCGAAAUUCCUUGUCGGGUAAGUUCCGACCUGCACGAAUGGCGUAACGAUGGCCACACUGUCUCCACCCGAGACUCAGUGAAAUUGAAAUCGCUGUUAAGAUGCAGUGUAUCCGCGGCUAGACGGAAAGACCCCGUGAACCUUUACUAUAGCUUUGCACUGGACUUUGAAUUUGCUUGUGUAGGAUAGGUGGGAGGCUUUGAAGCUGAAGCGCCAGCUUUAGUGGAGCCAUCCUUGAAAUACCACCCUUACACGAUUGAAGAUCUAACCGGCGAACGCUGGGACAAUGUCAGGCGGGUAGUUUGACUGGGGCGGUCGCCUCCUAAAGAGUAACGGAGGCGUUCAAAGCUACACUCAAUAUGGUCAGAAACCAUAUGCAGAGCACAAAGGUAAAAGUGUGGUUGACUGCAAGACUUACAAGUCGAGCAGGUGCGAAAGCA